rnacentral:rRNA from 1 species
GGAUCCAGACUUUGAUUAUGGCUCAGGAUGAACGCUAGCUACAGGCUUAACACAUGCAAGUCGAGGGGCAGCAUUUUAGUUUGCUUGCAAACUGAAGAUGGCGACCGGCGCACGGGUGAGUAACACGUAUCCAACCUGCCGAUAACUCCGGAAUAGCCUUUCGAAAGAAAGAUUAAUACCGGAUAGCAUACGAAUAUCGCAUGAUAUUUUUAUUAAAGAAUUUCGGUUAUCGAUGGGGAUGCGUUCCAUUAGUUUGUUGGCGGGGUAACGGCCCACCAAGACUACGAUGGAUAGGGGUUCUGAGAGGAAGGUCCCCCACAUUGGAACUGAGACACGGUCCAAACUCCUACGGGAGGCAGCAGUGAGGAAUAUUGGUCAAUGGGCGAGAGCCUGAACCAGCCAAGUAGCGUGAAGGAUGAAGGCUCUAUGGGUCGUAAACUUCUUUUAUAUGGGAAUAAAGUUUUCCACGUGUGGAAUUUUGUAUGUACCAUAUGAAUAAGGAUCG